rnacentral:misc_RNA from 1 species
GGAAAAUCUAACUGAUUUAUGACGCCAAACAACUUUAGAGUCACAUUUGAAUUGGCCGGGAAGUGAUACAUUCCUUUGGCUAAAAUGAAACGAAGACAUUUUAAUGCCAUAACUUGCAGGCGCAAACCUCUGUCCUUAGUCAAAAAUGAGGAAAGCAAUUCCACCUUAUUUAUUUUUUGAGAUAAACAUAUUGUCUGGGCCAGCUUGUGCCUUGCGCGUAGCCCAACAAAUUUCACAGGGCACCUCCUACCUUCCACCAGCACAUCCCCCAUGGCUUGGACAAAUGGGAAGAAAUCACCCAGAGCCAUUUGGUAGCUUGUUAGGACAAAUAUUUUACAUGUAUUAGAUCCUGUCUAGGAAUUAAAGGUGUCCACUUAGAAGCAAUUUCGGAAAGUGAAACUAGCAUCACCAAAGAGAAUUCUUCUUCCGAAGAUUCUAGGAUAAGCUUCAC